AGAAUCAACGCUGGCGGCGUGCCUAACACAUGCAAGUCGAACGAGAAAGUGGAGCAAUCCAUGAGUAAAGUGGCGACCGGGUGAGUAACACGUGACUAACCUACCCUCGAGUGGGGAAUAACUCCGGGAAACCGGAGCUAAUACCGCAUAACAUCUUCGGAGCGCAAGCUCUGUUGAUCAAAGGAGCAAUUCGCUUGAGGAGGGAGUCGCGGCUGAUUAGCUAGUUGGCGGGGUAAUGGCCCACCAAGGCUUAGAUCGGUAGCCGGCCUGAGAGGGCGCACGGCCACACUGGAACUGAAACACGGUCCAGACUCCUACGGGAGGCAGCAGUGGGGAAUUUUGCGCAAUGGGGGAAACCCUGACGCAGCAACGCCGCGUGGAGGAUGAAGUCCCUUGGGAUGUAAACUCCUUUCGACCGGGAAGAUGAUGACGGUACCGGUAGAAGAAGCACCGGCUAACUCUGUGCCAGCAGCCGCGGUAA
rnacentral:rRNA from 1 species